rnacentral:rRNA from 1 species
AGUGGGGAAUAUUGCGCAAUGGGCGAAAGCCUGACGCAGCAACGCCGCGUGGGUGAUGAAGGUCUUCGGAUCGUAAAACCCUGUCGUCAGGGAAGAAGGUUAUCAGUUUAAUAUGCUGGUAAUUUGACGGUACCUGGAAAGGAAGCCCCGGCUAACUCUGUGCCAGCAGCCGCGGUAAUACAGAGGGGGCAAGCGUUAUUCGGAAUUAUUGGGCGUAAAGAGCGCGUAGGCGGUGUUUUAAGUGAGAUGUGCAAUCCCCGAGCUUAACUUGGGAACUGCAUCUCAUACUGGAACGCUAGAGUACCGGAGAGGGUGGUAGAAUUCCACGUGUAGCGGUGAAAUGCGUAGAGAUGUGGAGGAAUACCAGUGGCGAAGGCGGCCACCUGGACGGUAACUGACGCUGAGGUGCGAAAGUGUGGGUAGCAAACAGGAUUAGAUACCCUGGUAGUCCACGCUGUAAACGAUGAACACUUGGUGUGGCGGGAGUUGACCCCUGCCGUGCCGUAGCUAACG